GACGAACGCUGGCGGCGUGCCUAAUACAUGCAAGUAGAACGCUGAAGGAGGAGCUUGCUUCUCUGGAUGAGUUGCGAACGGGUGAGUAACGCGUAGGUAACCUGCCUGGUAGCGGGGGAUAACUAUUGGAAACGAUAGAUAAUACCGCAUAAUAGUAGAUGUUGCAUGACAUUUGCUUAAAAGGUGCAAUUGCAUCACUACCAGAUGGACCUGCGUUGUAUGGGUUAGUUGGGGCGGUAACGGCUCACCAAGGCGACGAUACCUGGCCGACCUGCGAGGGUGGGCGGGCAGGCUGGGACGGAGGCACGGCCCAGAGGCCUACGGGAGGCAGCAGUAAGCAAGCUUCGGCAAGGAACGGAAGUCUGACCAACCAACGCCGCAUGAGUGAACAAGGUUUUCGUAUCAUAAAGCUCUGUUGUAAGAGAAGAACGAGUAUUAGAGUGGAAAGUUCACACUGUGACGGUAUCUUACCAGAAAGGGACGACUAACUACGU
rnacentral:rRNA from 1 species